GCUUACGCCUUUCUGUCUGUAAAAUUACGUAGUACCACCACUGUUCGUCUUGUCUGCACUACUGAACUGGUACAACAAGUUGAACUGAGAAAACCUACGUUUGUUUAACCUACCUCAGUUUAACUUAAUGCACCAGUUCAGCAGUGCAAAACGAACAGGUCUAUUAUCGUUUUCUAACCUAAAAAUACGUCUACACGAAUGACAAGUUGUUCCGGAUUAUUUCGAAUUCAUUAACAGGCAUCCAAUGCUUGUUGAAGAUCAUCUAUGAGGUCCUGUUCUGUUUCGAGGCCAACAGAUACUCGAAUCAAGUUCUCUGUAAUACCUAACUCAUACCGUGUUUUCAAAGGUACUGAAGCAUGUGAUGUGAAGAAACUACAUGAAAAACAAAAAUAUUCGUCAAUAUAUAAUAUUGUGAAACUUGAUAAGUAAUAAUCAGUUGUUUCUCCUUACGGUAAUUCAACCAAUGAUUCAGGAUUGCCCAAGGAUCCAGCUAAAGUGAAUAUUUUCAAUGCCUUAUAAAACUUCGCAGGGUCACCUUUUAGAUAGAAAGAUACCAUCCCACUGUGGCCGGUUGAUUGUUUAACUGCGAUCUUGUGUUGCGGGUGUGAUGGAAGAUCUGUAACAUAAGAACGUGUCUUAUCAAACUUGUAUCAUGAGAUAAAGCGAAAAAUAAUUUACACGUACAAGGAUGGAGCACCUUCUCCACUUUGGGAUGUGUUUCUAGAAAUUUUGCUACAGCCAGACCAUUCUUC